GGAUGCAUUAUUGUUCUUCACGAGGAUGCCUAGUAAGCGCGAGUCAUCAUCUCGCGUUGAUUACGUCCCUGCCCUUUGUACACACCGCCCGUCGCUCCUACCGAUUGAACGUGCUGGUGAAGCGUUAGGACUGGAACUUCGGGCCGGUUUCCCUGCCCAUCGUUUCGGGAAUUUCGUUGAACCCUCCCGUUUAGAGGAAGGAGAAGUCGUAACAAGGUCUCCGUAGGUGAACCUGCGGAGGGAUCAUUG
rnacentral:rRNA from 1 species